CACCUACGGGUGGCAGCAGUUGGGAAUCUUGCACAAUGGGGGAAACCCUGAUGCAGCGACGCCGCGUGGAGGAUGAAGGGUCUAGGCCUGUAAACUCCUUUUACCAGGAAAGACUUAGGACGGUACCUGGGGAAUAAGCACCGGCUAACUACGUGCCAGCAGCCGCGGUAAGACGUAGGGUGCAAGCGUUGUCCGGAUUUACUGGGCGUAAAGAGCGCGUAGGCGGUCUGUUAAGUGUAGAGUGAAAGCUCCGGGCUCAACCCGGAAAUUGCUCUGCAUACUGGCAGACUUGAGGAUGGAAGAAGUUUGUGGAAUUCCUGGUGUAGCGGUGAAAUGCGUAGAUAUCAGGAGGAACACCCAUGGCGAAGGCAGCAAACUGGUCCAUAUCUGACGCUGAGGCGCGAAAGCGUGGGUAGCAAACAGGAUUAGAUACCCUGGUAGUCCACGCCCUAAACGAUGGAUACUAGGCGUAAGAGGUAUCGACCCCUCUUGUGCCGCAGCUAACGCACUAAG
rnacentral:rRNA from 1 species